rnacentral:rRNA from 1 species
UACGAAGGGUGCAAGCGUUACUCGGAAUUACUGGGCGUAAAGCGUGCGUAGGUGGUGAGUUAAGUCUGUCGUGAAAGCCCCGGGCUCAACCUGGGAAUGGCGAUGGAUACUGGCUCGCUAGAGGGCGGCAGGGGCUGGUGGAAUCCCCGGUGUAGUGGUGAAAUGCGUAGAGAUCGGGGGGAACACCCGUGGCGAAGGCGGCCAGCUGGGCCGACCCUGACACUGAGGCGCGAAGGCGUGGGGAGGCGAACGGG